UACGGGGGGAGCAAGCGUUGUUCGGAUUUACUGGGCGUAAAGGGCGCGUAGGCGGCGCGACAAGUCACUUGUGAAAUCUCUGGGCUCAACCCAGAACGGUCAAGUGAUACUGUCGUGCUAGAGUGCGGAAGGGGCAACUGGAAUUCUUGGUGUAGCGGUGAAAUGCGUAGAUAUCAGGAAGAACAUCGGUGGCGAAGGCGCUCUGCUGGACCAUAACUGACACUCAGGGACGAAAGCUAGGGGAGCGAAUGGG
rnacentral:rRNA from 1 species